UACAGAGGUCUCAAGCGUUGUUCGGAUUCAUUGGGCGUAAAGGGUGCGUAGGCGGCGCGGUAAGUCGGGUGUGAAAUCUCGGGGCUUAACUCCGAAACUGCAUUCGAUACUGCCGUGCUUGAGGACUGGAGAGGAGACUGGAAUUUACGGUGUAGCAGUGAAAUGCGUAGAGAUAUGGAGGAACACCAGUGGCGAAGGCGGCUUCCUGGUCUGUAACUGACACUGAGGCGCGAAAGCGUGGGGAGCAAACAGG
rnacentral:rRNA from 1 species